AAUAGAGGCGCGAUGGACAGGAGUAGUGCGCGGGAGCCCGGCCGGGGCUGUGACCGCGGAUGAAAGGGAAAAUCGCCGAAAUGCAUGCGCCGCGGCAGGGAGCAUGCGUUGGACAGGCGGAUAAUAUCUGCCUGGCUGUCAUGGUUCAAGGCCAUGAAGCGCUAUUC
rnacentral:ncRNA from 1 species